UGUGUGUCUGUAAGUGUGUGUGAGUGUGUGUGUGUGUGUGUGUCUGUGAAUGUAUGUGUAUGUGUCUGUAAGUGUGUGUGUCUGUAAGUGUGUGUACAUUCACAGACACACACACACUCACUCAGACACACACACACACACACACUCACAGACACACACA